UGGCACGCCCUGCAGGAUUCGAACCUGCGACCACAUCCUUAGAAGGGACGUGCUCUAUCCAGCUGAGCUAAGGGCGC
rnacentral:tRNA from 1 species